rnacentral:rRNA from 1 species
GCCAGCGGCAAUAGUACGUUCAAUGCACCACUUUACGAUCGUUAAUUGAAGUUAAACAUCGUUAUAAGUGGUUGGUAUCCGAAUGGGUGACCACUUGGAUAAUCGCGGUGCUGCUGGGC